rnacentral:rRNA from 1 species
CACUCCUGCGGGAGGCAGCAGUGGGGAAUAUUGCACAAUGGGCGCAAGCCUGAUGCAGCCAUGCCGCGUGUAUGAAGAAGGCCUUCGGGUUGUAAAGUACUUUCAGCGGGGAGGAAGGCGAUAAGGUUAAUAACCUUGUCGAUUGACGUUACCCGCAGAAGAAGCACCGGCUAACUCCGUGCCAGCAGCCGCGGUAAUACGGAGGGUGCAAGCGUUAAUCGGAAUUACUGGGCGUAAAGCGCACGCAGGCGGUCUGUCAAGUCGGAUGUGAAAUCCCCAGGCUCAACCUGGGAACUGCAUUCGAAACUGGCAGGCUAGAGUCUUGUAGAGGGGGGUAGAAUUCCAGGUGUAGCGGUGAAAUGCGUAGAGAUCUGGAGGAAUACCGGUGGCGAAGGCGGCCCCCUGGACAAAGACUGACGCUCAGGUGCGAAAGCGUGGGGAGCAAACAGGAUUAGAUACCCCGGUAGUCC